UACGGGGGGGGCAAGCGUUGUUCGGAAUUACUGGGCGUAAAGGGCUCGUAGGUGGCCAACUAAGUCAUACGUGAAAUCCCUCGGCUUAACCGGGGAACUGCGUCUGAUACUGGAUGGCUUGAGGUUGGGAGAGGGAUGCGGAAUUCCAGGUGUAGCGGUGAAAUGCGUAGAUAUCUGGAGGAACACCGGUGGCGAAGGCGGCAUCCUGGACCAAUUCUGACACUGAGGAGCGAAAGCCAGGGGAGCAAACGGGG
rnacentral:rRNA from 1 species